AAUAUGUUGUUGUACCAAUAGCUUAAUUGGUGUUCGUAGCAGUUGUUGUAGUAACUUUAGGUACAAUGUUUCUAACUUUUUUCUUAUAACACGCGUCUCGUGCUCCUCUUUUCAUAAGAUACCUUGCGUCAUCUUCUCUCUAAUUCCAUACGCACACCUCCUAAACCCCACAAAUCCACCCAGACGUCAGUUCCCCUCACAAUCCAUCUUCUCUGACGACGGAACUGUCAGGCUGGAGUUGAUGUUAUAAUCGAUGGUCAGACAACGUAUUCUGGAACGGUAGCAUCAGUGCCGGAGUUACGAAUGGACUCGUCGAUUCACCGUUGAUGCAAUCGAUGAAGACCAAGAUUAAGUAUCAACUGAAUACCGGAUUAGUAUGAUGAUGGGCUGAGGAUGAAAGAUGGUCGCAACAGUGAUUAAAAACCUUAAAGUAAUGGAAAACAUAUUACGGUUUGUUGCUUUUGCAUAUUUAGGUUUAGGGUUGUGAUUCAUUGGGCUUUGCAUAAACUACAUGGGUUUUGAGUGUUUUAUUGAAACACUUAUGGGUAUAUUAAAAUCGGGAAUUUAUUUUUGUUCUAUUCUUGAAUCAAUGUAUGCAUAAAAGCUCUGUUCAAAAUUUUAAAUAACCUAAAAGAAAACUUGGGGAUUUUCAGUGUAGAAAGAGUUUGGUACAGAAACAUUAACCUUAUAAAAUAGGCGAACGCUUUGUUUAGAUUUGAAGUUGUUUAUAACCAUUUCUUUUAUAAGAAGUCUGAGAUUUGGUGCUGAUUUCUUACCCAGAGAGUUUGGGUUGCUAGAUACAAUACAUACAUUAGAUGAAAAUUUUAGUCAUGUUCGAUGGGAACCGGUAAAUUUAAAAUACACAAAUGACCUACAGUCGUGACUGAUUUGACCCGUUUCCCUUAGCUAACCCGCAUUCCACUCUUCACACGACCCGCCGCGGUGCUUAUGGUAUGGACCAUUAGAUGAACGGUCGUUAUGUUAUGCACUUAAUCAAUCAAUUUGGGGUAAGCUGUGUGAUACAGAUACCUUAUCUUUGAUAUGCUCUUUGUGGAAGAUACAUACGAAGAUUAACUGCUGUCAUUGUGCAUCACAUACCAGCCUUCUAGAAGGUUGCCCUUUCUGUUUCAAGAGGCAAAUUUGCUAAGGACUGUUGUUUUAAAACCAAGAGAGAGAGAAAGAGUGACAGAGAGAAAAGGAGAAGCGGCAGGGAAUAAAGAGAUCUGAGAUGUUCCAUUUGCCGGUUAUGACGGAGCGACGGUGGCUUGGGGGGUGGAGGGUUUUGUCGUUUAUUCACAUCAACUCAAAAGAUCAAGACAGUAACUGUUUUCAUCGAGAUAUUGGGGGUGGGGGUGGUAGUUCACGAAGAUGUAAACAAGCGAGAAAAAGUGGAGAUCAAUUCAGUGGUUGACAAAAAGUCAUCCUACCUAAAAUUCACGGCAGCAGUGUUGAGGAUAAAAUACUACAGUCUAUAGGUAGAUGACACAGUGUAACUGUCACUAAGACCAUAUGUAUGUGUAGCGGGCUUGAAACUAAUGCCCCUCUCUUGGGCAUGAAGCAACACGUGACAGUCCAGUCAGCAUUGGGGCAUUACGGGGCAUUAGUUUAAAGUGGGUAUAAACAAUGCCCCAUCCAAUGAUUACCCAUAUCUAUUUUCUAAUUUCCUAUUGGCCCAUUCAAUUAACUUUUUGAUCAAUAGGCGUUUUAAAUGAAACGCACAAGCCACUUUUUGAAAGAAAACGCCUAGGGGGCAGUGUGGUGGGAGUGGUUAGGCAUUAUGGGGCAAAAAACCGCCCAAUUCCUUUGCCACUACACAUGGUCUAACGAUGGUGCCACUAUCUUAUAGUCUCUUCAUAUUGAUAACACUGCUUCUAAGGUUCUUAUUGGUAUCCUUUGAAUUGUAGUAACGUCUAGUGUUUCGUAUUUAUUCUAUUAAUUAAUCUUUGCAACACAUGUAGAAUCAUUGUCAACUGUUUAUGUGUUAAAAAGUUUCAUAUGCGAUGUUAAUAUCUAAUAUAAUUAAGGACAUGGUGAAGGGUGCUCUUAAGUUGAGAUUUUUCAGAAAAAAGAAAGUUAAAUCAAGGUUUUUGAAGUUUCUUAAUUAAAAAAAUUAGACAUCUAAAAAGUGCAAGUGGUAAUUUUGGCUGGUGAGCUUUAGUGGGAAGCUGAAAAGUUAGUAGGAUAAAAAAUUCAUCCAAUGACAAUAAUUUCAGGUUAUCGGAUGGCUGCUGAUUGUGCUCUUAGAGCAUUGCAGGACACGGUGAACGAUAAUAAAGAUAAUGCAGACGACCGUGAAGAAUCGAGGGGCGAGGAGACCAACAAGCUUCAAGAAACGAUGGUGGUUCUCUUCUUCUGUCACAUAUCCGGUGGAAUCCGGUUCUGUCUGCUCCAGCAGCUCGGAGUACUUCGCAAAAGAGAGGUCGAGGCGGAAGUUACGUUAUGCACCGGUAAGUUGAAGUUCACUGUUAACUUUUGGGUUUUAGGGUUUAGGUUUUGUGUGUUGAGUUGAAAUGUUGUUGAAUUGUUGUACACAUGAGAUUUAGUUAUUUAUGAGAAUAUGUUUUAAUAAGAAUAACAUGAAGUGAACAUAUUGUAUAUUUGUGGUUUG